rnacentral:guide_RNA from 1 species
AUGACAUAACUUGACCGAUAAGAUAAUGAAAGAGACGGUGUAAUU